CGGGAAAAGUAUCUCUUUUCCGGGGGAUUUUUUUCUGUUUUUGGCUUUUCUUUUUUUAGGGCCGCUCCUGUGGCAUAUGGAGGUACCCAGGCCAGGGGUGGGAGGGGAGCUGCAGCUGCCGGCCUCCACACCACAGCCACAGCAACCUAGGAUCCAAGCUGUGUCUGGGGCCUACAACACGGCUCACGGCAAUGCCGGAUCCUCAAUCCACUGAUCGGGGCCAGGGACUGAACUCGCGUCCUCAUGGAUAGCAGUUGGGUUCAUUACUGGUGAGCCACAGUGGGAACUCCCUUUUUCCCUUUUUUACUCAUCCUGUUUCUGCUUGGGGAGUGAGUGCAGAGGUGGGUGGGAGGGAGGAAAAUCGGAAAGGAAAAUCACUUUGCUGGAAUAAGCGGAUGAGUCUUUCCACUGAGAUGAUUUCCUCAGGUGACAGGCUGUGAGGCGUAGGAGGCUGGCAGCAAGAUUCUGUGGCCACCCAAGUCAUUCUUGCAAACCAGGCACACCAGGGAUUAGCUUUCUGGCUGUCAGGGAAGGAUUUGUCAGGGUAGCUAAGUGUUUUGAUUAAUUAACUUAAAGCUGGGAUCCUGUAUAAAUGCAAAUUGUCAUACCUCCUCUCACCCACUGAGUGCCUCUCUCAGACCAAAAUGGGUAGGAGCCGAGGAAGAAGAGGUGGAGCUGGAAUCACUGCCUGGCUGUGACUCCAUCUGCAGUGGUCUCUGGGGGAGGAGGGCGACUCCGCUUGUGCAAGCGCCACUGUCACAAUCCAGUACCGCAAAACGGGACCACGUGAGGAGGAGGCUCACCCUUUGCCACCAUGGCCAGCUCCCGACCUUAACCGAAAGAGGAACACAGCGUGGCCAUCAGAAAUCUUUUAGAGGGAUGUCGACACCCUUCCAAUCUCUGAACGUACAAAGGCACGUGCACUUGGGCAGUUUUUCAGUACCUCUGAUUCUGACCUCAUCCUUCUUGGACAGUGGUGUUUAUUUUUAUUUGCAUGCAGGGUCAAGUGUACGGUGGGGAAAGGAGGCCUCACAGGGUGGCAGGAGCAGAUGCAGCGCCCUGUCCACACACACCAGAAAGCUUGAAGGGAAAGGCGGGAAGAGCCAGGAGGCUGGCCACACAUCCCCAGGUGCCAUUGACUGCUUGGGUGAACUUGGGCAUGAAACCUAACUGCUGGGGCCACCAGUCAUCAGUGGACAUGGGGCUCACCUCACAGGAAGGCUGAGGAACCUCAGUAAGAUGUGUCUGCAAAUGGCUCAGCACGACACACACGAUAACUGCUUAACAAAUACUCGCUUGUACUUGACCAUGACUCUGUCCCAUCUGAAUUUAUUUGCUUUUGAUAACUUUGCUCCCAGAACCUGCAGAGGGUGGCAGAGCGCUGCUGUUGGCGGUCCCUUCUUCCUGCCUUUUCUCAGGGCUUGUAAAACUGGUUUAAUUGCUUUUAAAAUCAGAAAAAAAAAAAAAGCCACAUUAAAAAAAUAACUCUUCUGGAAUUUGUUGUCCAUAUGCUUUUAAAAUUUUUAUUUAUUUAUUGCUUUUUAGGACCACACCUGUGGCAUAUGGAUGUUCAAUCCCUGGCCUUCCUCAGUGGGUUAAGGAUCUGGCAUUGUUGUGAGCUGUGGUGCAGGUGACAGAUGUAGCUCGGAUCCCUUGUUGCUGUGGCUGUGGUAUAGGCUGGCCGCUAUGGCUCUGAUUGGGCCCUUAGCCUGGGAACUUCCAUAUGCUGCAGGUGUGGCCCUAAAAAGAAAAAAAAAAAAAAAAAA
rnacentral:lncRNA from 1 species